UACUAACAUACCCAUUCAUUUCAUCAAAAUACAACUUAAACCUGUCUUAGAUUAAAUAAUUAUCUUACUUAAAUCCCAGGUUCUAUAGACUUUUACAUGACUUGAAUAUCAAAAAGAUUACAAAACAUAAUGCUAAAAGUAAUUAUUACAUCAACUACUUAAGAUCAUAUAAGCAUAAACGUUUAAUAAACAUUCAUUCUGUAACUUUGCCUUUCCCUUUAUCUUUCUCAGACAUACCAGCGUUCUCGAUUUUAACUGAAAACAUUAUAUUCAACGCAAGGGUGAGCAAAAGCUUGCUUAGCAAGGAAGUAAACAAUUGAAUAUAAUGGAACAUAAAUAUUUAUAAUACAGAGGAUAUAAAUCAAAUAGAUAUUGAACAAGGCAGUUCUUUAAAAAUUUGAUUCGAAAAAUUAGACUUUAACAUGUUGUAAGGUCAAAUGACCAGUGAACUCUAUACUAGAAUUGACAGUAUUAACACUGCAAUCCAUGGAUACAAACAGUUAUUAAAACUGUUCUAUAUCCUAGACUUGUACUUUAAGGGAUCAGCCUAAGUACCCUACAUUAUGCACAACAUAACAGUCUAAUGACACUUUACAUGUCCUUCGAAAUCACAUGUCUGGUACAAUAUGCCCCUAUAAAAGACUUAUUCGUUCACAACAUUAUAUAAGAGUCCGCACCACAACAAAAUAGUUUGGAAAACAUUCAAUGAGAUUUUCAUGAAUAAUAUAUUUCAACAGUUGUCUAGCCGAAAUAAUGGCAUUGUCAUUCUUUCAAUAUUAUCAAAAUAACAAAAUUUGAAGCAUUAAGGUACAAAUAAGUUGAAUAACUUGAAAAGACGGCUUUUGAGUUAAAUACUGCAAUAUAAACUUAGUUAAGAGAGACAAGUUCGAUUUACUUGAUAACAUCCUAACUAUUCUCUUGAAGCUGAUUGAAAUAAAAAGGUUAUUUAACCUUGUUUUAUUCAUAAAUAAUGAGAGACAGUUCAGAAUUUAAAGAACCUGUCCAUAUAUGAAUAAUUCCAAAAUACUUGCUCAAGUAAGAGUUAAAAACUUGUCUUGUUUGUGGAUUACUGAUACAGACUCAAUUUAACUUGUGUGUUCUCAUUGAUCCUACACAAGUAUUUGCAUUUCCAAGCAUAUAUAUUAACCACAUAGCCAAGUCAUAUAACUUGUAAGUUCACAUAUCACAUAGUUUUAGUGAUCAUGAUUGUAGUUUAGAUUCCUGUAUCUGAGAUAUUUUAUACAUUUUUCAAAUACCUCAACCAUGUUCUUAUAAUAGCCAUUUUUCUCUUUAAUGGGGUUUAGUAUGAUUAUAACAUGCAAACACAACAUAUAUAUAGUUUACACCCUAUUAGGAAUUUAACACAUUAGUGUUUCAAUGUGUUUUUGUAACUUAUUUUAUGCUUUUGAAGGUAUUUCCAAGUUAUAUGGUCAACUUUUUGUCUAUCCCAUGAUUUAUAGCUUCAUUUCCAUACUAAUGCAUUAACUAUCUUUGUUUUUCUACAUUAUGCCAAAACAGCAUCUUUGAAGUUAAAACAAACCCAAUUUGGCUUAAUACCUCCAAUAUUAGAUGUCCCUCUGUGCUAGCUUUAUUUUAGAGUUUGUUAACUCAUUUAUAUAACAUUUGAGCAACUUGUAGGUUCAUUCAUAUCAACUAGCGUGCUAAGGCUAACAUGUUUUAAGAUUAUACCCAAAACAGUCUCUUUCUAUAUUCUUUAAUGUUUUGGGAUAUUUACAACUUAGUUGAGUAAUUUAUAGCUUCUAUAACAUUUUGUAGCUUUAUUUUCGUAUACAAAAAUGUUAAAUACUCCUGUUUUUCUAUUGUAGUCAAAACAGUCUCCUUAUUGACUAAAUGUGUCUAACUACUUUCUCUGUUGCAUUAACAGUUCCCUAGCCUUGCUUAUUUUGGCUUAACAGUCGUCUAUAACUGACCAUGCCGGCAGCCAAGCUUGGCUUGGCUAACCUUAGCGUGGCCUCAUGUGGCCCCACGGCCCCAAACUUAGCUCAUUUGUCCCAACAACCCCUAUUGAACCUAACAACCUCUUUUUAGAAUUAACAGUCCUAUUUUGGCUUGAUAAUCCCAACAUUAGAUACCUAUCUAUGUUAGCUUCAUUAUAGAGUUUACUAACUCACUUAUACCAUACUUGAGUCUAUUAUAGAUUUAUUUACGUAAGCUAAUAUUUUAGGCUAACAUGUUUCAAUAACACACCAAAAUAGUCCCUCCACGCUCUUUUCUAAAAAUAUCAUUUUCACCAUCACUCUUAAUUAUAUUAUAUUGUGGGUUUGUUAUGACCUCUACAUACUUACUUGAAAAAUUACAAACACAUUCUUUUCUCUUUUAACUAUUUCUUUAAAAGAUAAGUUAUUAAGCUACAUUUGGAAGCCAAAGAAGGUUUUAUUAUGCUACUGUAGCAGCUUCAUGCUGCUGUUUGCAGGCAACUGCUGCUACUAAUGGCAACAACCCUUGCCCCUACAAAAAAAUUCAGCCAAUCGAGGUCACUGCUGCUACUGAGGCAGCAACCCUACACAUUGCCAUGCUAAAUUCCAUUUAUUAGCUUAGUUUACAUGUUGAAACAACACCUAGUCUACACAACCCAACACCUUAGCCAAAGUAAGCCAAUACAGUUGGUCUUGGGUGACUGCUACAUUUUGCUACAAUAAUGGUUUAUUGCUGCCCACUGCUGUAUUUAGGCAGAAACCCCUUCCUCCGUGUUUCAAGUGAUUACAUACUCUAACUCCCUAAUUUAGUUUCCAAUUACUUUUGGUAAUUAAAAAAAAUAGAAUUCACCUAUUAGAAUAACCCAUAAACCAUACUAGAUGAUUAGUUUCUUAAAAUUUCAACCUUCAACCAAAAUGGUUGUCCAAAACUGCUCUUAUAUCAUACCAAAUUUUCCCAGAGCUCUUAAUUCUUUCUAGUAAUCAAUUUUUAAUCAAAACAGUCCACUUGGGACUUUUGUCGAACACAUGGUGUGCACAGUUUAAAAAUUCUUGUGUCAUAGUUUUUUGUUGUGUUUCAAAGCCAUUUUUAUCCUCCUUAUUACUCCUCAGCCCAGUCUAUCUCCUUGUGCCUAAAGUCAGUCCAUAAUAGUCAAAUACACAAUCGAAUAUAGAUAUACUCAAGUAAUUGACAACUAUUAAGCUUAUGAUUUAGCUAGUUACCAAGUUUCUUACCUUCAACCUUAUUAACAAUACAAAUCCCAGCCACAACAAUAGGCAUACUGUCACAGUCCAUUCUAUAUAACAGUUCUAGGCAUAACAAUUUAAUAUACAAUCAUAAGCAACCAACCAUCACAACCUAGUUAGUUUGCUCAUUUAACAAUUCCAACUCUUUGCAUACAACUUAGCAAGCAAUAUCUCAAUCUCCUUUUUGAGGAUCAUUAUAGCUAUAAGUAGUUACUAACAUUUCAGUUAACCACUUUUAUUCAAACUUAGAUAUCCUAAGCAUGACAUUAAUAACUAAACUAGAAGCAAGGUGUAAUCAUCAUGAAGAAACUUCCAAUAACAGUCCACAUAGAGCUCACUAUCUUAGUCCAUUUUAUUUUGUUUUGCUCAUAUAUGGAGUGAUCAAUCAUGUCAUAUUUAAGUAUAAACAUAUACUCGAGGUAUUCCUUUUUCUAUAUAAGCAAGUAGACAUGAUAUUAGGCUCUAUUUACAGCUAUCAUACACUGAUACCAUAACAGUCCCUUUAGAGCAUUUUAGGCAUGGUUUAUUACACCAAAACAGUACCAAGCAUUGAAACAUAUGCAUUUCUAAAACAUGGACCUUUUAUCUACCAUAUAUUCAUGAUUUAAAACAUCAAGGUCUUUAUGCUUUAGGCCAAAACAGUCCUCUUUAGGUUUUAAAUUAAAAAAAAUAUAAACAUGGUUUGUAAAUCAUAUGUAAACAUGUUAUACUUAAGUAUAGAAGCAUACUUGAAACAUUAGUUUCAUUGUAUAAGUAACUAAACAUGAAUUGGGACUUUAAUUCAUAGCUAGUAUGCAUUGAUACCAAAACAGCCUCUACUUGGUCAUUUAACAAAACAGUUGGUGAGCAUAAGUUUUGGUUUACAUGAAACACUUAUGUUCAUAUCUAUUUACCAGCCUCUUGGCCCUUAAAACACAACAAGGAGGCUACAUUUCCAUGCUUAUAUAGCCACGAUGGUAAAAAAUAAUAACAACACCAUAUAGCCAUACUUAAGCCUUAUAACAAUCAUUUAUAGAAAUUGAAAUUAGUAUCACAACCAUAACAGUCAAUAACAGUCCAUUAACCAUUAAUAGAUGGUUUUAUUAUACGGAAAUGAAAUGGAAUUGGGAUGGCUAGAGUUUGUAUACCUUAACUGGCUUUGAGAAAUGAUACUUUGAUGCUUAACUCCCUUGCUUCCCUCGCCAGAGCUCUGCCUCUCUCUCUCUCUCUCUCUCUCUCUCUCUCUCUCUCUCUCUCUCUCUCUUUCUAUAUGCUACUGAUUUGGAACUCAGGAAUUGGUGAAUUUAACCCAGUCUAAGCACUGUGAUUGGCCUUAUAUGGCUGAGUUUUUGUUUCUUCUUAGAGCAUCUCCAUCAAUGCAAUCCUAGACUUAGUUUUGGAACACAGAUUUCAUUUUAGCAGAUGGAUUAAAUAUUUGAAUUUUUCGAUGAGUCACAAAGACUAAAUCAAGAAACUUGAGUUGGUGAACUAUAAUUGUGAUUAUAAUUUUUAAUAUAUUUAAAUGGGAGAAAUGAAUGAAGAAGAAGGAAAAUGAGGAUGCCGAAGAAGGAGAAGCAACUGAAGAAGGAGAUAAAGGGCAGGGCUACUCUAAAUGAUAUAAAAAAAUCACAACGGUGAUAAAAU
rnacentral:lncRNA from 1 species